CUGUAUAUGUUGUUAGUACAAACUCUGUUUAGUUUAAGCCUAGAUGGCGCUGUACAUGACGCUUUCAGAGUUAUGAUUUUCUUUUACGCAACUUAGAAUGGCAAACAAGCUGACGGCCCAGUAUACUGUUUCGCCCAGGUGUUAUUCCUCUGUACCCUGUAAAUUCAUUGCCAUAUCAUCCCAUCCUUCAAACCGAAACACAGCCAUGUAAACACAACUGUUUCACGACAGAAACAGGAAUGAAACAGAGAUGCCCAAGCAAACGACUUUUGUAUAAAGUCUCCCUCUGGUUUUUGAGUUUUUGGUUAUUAUUUUUGCAUUGAUAUUCAAUUCCAGCAAAAUAUUUAUUGUGUAAGCCCAAUAUGAUGUUCUCGUAGUUUUAGGUGUUACCAAAUAAUGCAAAUAUUACAUGAAUUCGAGAAGUAAGUAAACCAGUUACAGUUGCAUUCGAAAUGGACUUUGCACCUCGGCAAGAACUAGUAUUGGACUUUGAUAGUAGUAGAAAAUACAGGGCCGAACUACAGGGCGGAUGUCUUUAGAUUGAGCGAAUGUAUAAGAUUGCAGAUGGGGGCAAAGUCCAAUAAUGAUCGGCCAAAGUCCACACGUACGUUUAAUAGGUAAUCUGAAUAAGUAUUAUGUACUCGUACCUACCGGAGGUGUACCAUAAAACAAGUCGAGUCACUGUGACACGCAAGAAAUAAUUUUAUGCAAUUACACGAUGAUUGGCCCGAGAAUAAUUUUAAUAUUACUGUCAUACGAGAUUUCUAAGUGAACAAUAACAAUGUUUGUCAUGGUGAUCACAGUCACAGACAAAGAGAGACAGAUAAAGCAUGUACAUCAAUAUAUAUGAAGACUAGUUUUUACCCGCGACUACGUCCACGUGACCGGGAUAUGUUCACUGACCGUGAUAACAAGAAAGUAGAAUUUUAUAGUGAUUUGUUAACUCGU